rnacentral:rRNA from 1 species
GACGAAGGAUGCAAGCGUUAUCCGGAUUCAUUGGGUUUAAAGGGAGCGUAGGUGGCCUUAUAAGUCAGUGGUGAAAUCUCUCAGCUUAACUGAGAAAUUGCCAUUGAUACUGUAGGGCUUGAGUACAGAUGCCGUUGGCGGAAUAUGACAUGUAGUGGUGAAAUACAUAGAGAUGUCAUAGAACACCGAUUGCGAAGGCAGCUGGCGAAACUGUAACUGACACUGAGGCUCGAAAGUGCGGGGAUCAAACAGG